rnacentral:rRNA from 1 species
GACUACAGGGGUAUCUAAUCCUGUUUGCUCCCCACGCUUUCGUGCAUGAGCGUCAGUACAGGUCCAGGGGACUGCCUUCGCCAUCGGUGUUCCUCCGCAUAUCUACGCAUUUCACUGCUACACGCGGAAUUCCAUCCCCCUCUACCGUACUCUAGCUGUGCAGUCACAAAUGCCAUUCCCAGGUUGAGCCCGGGGAUUUCACAUCUGUCUUACACAACCGCCUGCGCACGCUUUACGCCCAGUAAUUCCGAUUAACGCUCGCACCCUACGUAUUACCGCGGCUGCUGGCACGUAGUUAGCCGGUGCUUAUUCUUCAGGUACCGUCAUCACCCCAGAGUAUUAGUCCAGAGUAUUUCUUCCCCGACAAAAGCGGUUUACAACCCGAAGGCCUUCUUCCCGCACGCGGCAUGGCUGGAUCAGGCUUGCGCCCAUUGUCCAAAAUUCCCCACUGCAGCCGCCCGUAGG